AGCGCAGUGGGGGAGUUCGGUCGUCCCCGCGGGUCUCAUAAACCCGAGAUCGCCGGUUCGAAUCCGGCCUGCGCGACCA
rnacentral:tRNA from 1 species